rnacentral:misc_RNA from 1 species
GAUGAAGAACGUAGCGAAAUGCGAUAAGUAAUGUGAAUUGCAGAAUUCAGUGAAUCAUCGAAUCUUUGAACGCACAUUGCGCCCGGUAGUAUUCUGCCGGGCAUGCCUGUUCGAGCGUCAUUUCAACCAUCAAGCCCCCGGCUUGUGUUGGGGACCUGCGGCUGCCGCAGGCCCUGAAAACCAGUGGCGGGCUCGCUAGUCACUCCGAGCGUAGUAAUACAUCUCGCUCAGGGCGUGCUGCGGGUUCCGGCCGUUAAAAAAGCCUUAUUUACCCAAGGUUGACCUCGGAUCAGGUAGGAAGACCCGCUGAACUUAAGCAUAUCAAUAAGCGGAGGA